rnacentral:rRNA from 1 species
GAAAGCCUGACGGAGCAAUACCGCGUGAGGGAGGAAGGCUCUUGGGUUGUAAACCCUCUUUUCUCAGGGAAGAAUCAAUGAAGGUACUUGAGGAAUAAGCAUCGGCUAACUCCGUGCCAGCAGCCGCGGUAAUACGGAGGAUGCAAGCGUUAUCCGGAAUGAUUGGGCGUAAAGCGUCCGCAGGUGGUUUUUCAAGUCUCCUGUCAAAGCSUCGGGCUCAACUCGAAAARGGCAGGGGAAACUGANAGACUAGAGUAAGGUAGGGGUAGAGGRAAUUCCNGGUGUAGCGGUGAAAUGCGUAAAGAUCAGGAAAAACACCGGUGGCGAAAGCNCUCUGCUGGACUAUUACUGACACUGAGGGACRAAAGCUAGGGGAGCGAAUGGGAUUAAAUACCCCAGGUAGUCA